CACACCGUCACCUCUGCUGGGUUUUCUUCCAAUCAGAGACGUCGCUGGUCGUUUCUCUCUGUUGAAUUACAGCCUGAAUGAUCUGACGUGACCCACUGACACUGAUUUAAUGGAUCCUUUUGGGGUCUGAAAGUUCUGUGAUCGCCGUCGCUGAAGCUUCAUCUUUGACCUCCACUUGGAUUCUGACUCCAGGAGGCUAUUUAACCUCAGAGAGGACGACUGUCAGGACGAUUCUGCUGCAGCUGCUGAUCACAUCUGGCAGCCAUCUGCACGUCCUUUCAGCUUACCGUCACUCAGAUCAGAGGAACCUAACCAGGAUGGAGGUUCUGAGUGGACCUUUGGCAGAUCUGGCUCUGUUCCUGCGACAAACCACCACAUCAUCAGACGGACAGAAAGACAGUUUACUUCCUGUUUGGGUGUUGGGUCUGUUGUUUCUGUCUGUCUGCCUUCUGCUGCUGCAGCUGAUCGUCUACUUCAGCUGGAAACUCACUCAGGCUGAAUCUGAUCUGUCAGAGUAUCAGCAGGACAGAAGCUCCAUCUACAGGCGGCCGAGCAGAAACGCUCGGCUGAGGAGGACGAGGAGCGUCGGCGUUCAUUCAGGCUCCUGAACGGACAAAAACUUGAACUUCAAGGCCAGAAGAAACUGUAGAGAAAGCAGCUGCUGCGUCCUGAACACUGGGAUCCAUAAAAACUCCCUCAGAGUCAGGAUUCAUGACAUGAUUGGAACGACUGAAGCUGUGAAAACAUCUGGAUGUUUUGGAUUCUUUAGGGAAACUCCAACAUCUGGAUGAAUCAAAGCAUCUUUUACUGAUGUAUUUAUUUCUGCUUUCCUGCCUAAGCUUGACAUUUCUUGUUUUCAUAUUUUACACAAUAAAAUAAAGCUGACGAGAUUAAAACAA